rnacentral:rRNA from 1 species
UACAUAGGUCCCAAGCGUUAUCCGGAUUUACUGGGCGUAAAGUGUCCGUAGCCUGACAUAUAAGUCUGUUUUCAAAUACUGUGGCUUAACCAUAGGAAGGGAAUAGAUACUGUAUGUCUGGAAGUUGUUGGGGGUUAGUGGAAUUUCCGGUGGAGCGGUGAAAUGCGUUGAUAUCGGAAAGAACGCCGAAAGCGAAAGCAGCUAACUACAAUAAACUUGACGGUAAGGGACGAAAGCGUGGGGAGCAAAC